CCUCCUUCAGUGUGAGGUCCCUCCCACAGGAAACAGUCAUCCUGGAGCUCCUCCAAUAAAAGCCCUUCCCACAGGCUGCCAAUCUUCGUGACUGGCUCCAACACACAUCCAUGCCAGGGGGUCCAGUCCCUGAGGAAUGGUCUGUUCUUGUGAGUGAAGAAAUCAAGUUUGAAGAGCAGAUCCCUGGACAUCAAGGGAAAGAAAAAAUAGCUCUUCAGGAAACUGGGAUAGAGCUGUGAAAGACAAAGAAAUUAAGUUGCAUAGGACAACAUCCUUCACCUUCAAGACAGGUCUAUCUCAACAUGCAGGGAAACACCUGGGCAUAUCAAGAGACUGGUGUGGCUAAUCAGAGAACUUAUGAUUGAGAUUACAAAAAGGUCUGGAAGUGAGAACAGACUAAAUCAAGCCAAAGAAUUUUCAAUAAACCUUGCCUCAUACAAGAGUAGACCAAACAGGAUGCAUCUGAGAGUGCUAAGAGAACUUGCUGCUCUUGGCCGUCUUUGAAAAACUUACAAAAUCUAUUGUGGUUGGAGAAAGAAAAAUGUAGCCACCAGCUUCAAAACCUGCAGGAGAAACAUUCCAGGGAUCUACAGAUUUUUAGAUCAGUCCUACAGUUGGAAGCAUGAAGCUGGGAAGAAAAUAAAAGCUCAGACAUGAUGGGACCCAUGGUGAUCUCAAUGGACACUGAAACCAGAUGGAGAUAAGUGGUUUGUAGUGUCAUGGCAUCAGAGGAGAAUACAAAGUGGGGUGAGAGCUGUGUGGUCCUAUUAUUUCUGUUGAUAUCAAGGAAUGUUUUGUACAACUACAAAAUAAACAUCAUACAUAUUCCAUAUAAUGUGACCAUGAAGAAGGAAAACUUUGACCACAGUUCCACCCAGAGUGUGCCUAACUGGGGGAUGAGAAUUCAAUAUGGAAUUUGUAGGGACAGAUUGAUGGAUUUGUCCUCCUUGCUCUCCUUAGAAGGUACAUAUUUUGCAAGAUCUUUUAUCCUCAUCUACACCAAGUGUUUUCAUCUGGGAAAUUAAUUUUGUUAUUGAAUCAAUAUUGUUAGUGAUAGAUAUAGCCAUUGUUGGGGGUUAGGUUCCUUUCCUUUUGUUCCUUUUUACUUAGGGAUUUUUUUCCCCAUAAAUUGCUAGGAAACACUAAUGACUGGGUACUUAAGAAAACAUGAAAGAAGUGGCCAGGCUCAGAGGAGGUGGGCAUUUGGUUGCAUUUUCCUUAUGUGGGAGUUUUUCUCCGAGGGGCAGAGAUACCUGAGAAUUGGGCUGACAAAAGAUGGGGCUGGGACCGCUGCUUUCUCUCUCUCUCUUUCUUUCUCUCAGCUUUGGAUGAGAACAUUGGAGCCGCCGCUUAGGGAAGGGAAUUCACUGCUACUGCUGGAGCCCAGCACAGAGCUGCUGCUUCUGUCAUGGGUGUCCGGGAUCUUGAAUUUGCCCCUCUCUGUCCUGCUGGGAGCUGGGCUGCUGCUGCCCUGUCCCUUCUUCAGCACUGCUCCGAGCUUUUGCUGCACUGUAGCCCCGCGCCCUCUGCCUGCCGAGAUAUCCUGCCAGUCACGCUUGCUGCUUCUGAGAGUCCUGCUGGGGCACAGGGACCGUGCCCCAGGGCUUGUGAAGCGAAGCCUCUCCGCCAUCCCUUCCCGUCUGGGCCCAGCCGCCAUUACCGCGCGCUCCCCGAGCUCGCGCCGCAGCGCCCCCUGCAGCCGCGGGAGUCAGCGCACCGGCCCCGCCCGCCGGGAGCCAGCAGCGCCCCUGCUGGCUGCGCCCGGAACUGCACCAGCGGGGACGGCUCCUGCGGCCCAGAGAGGUCUGGGAGCGGGUUUGGGCUCCGGCUGCUGCUCCUGACGGAGCUGUUUGUUUGCUUUAUCACACAUACUAGUAAAGCACUGUUAUUCCUAUUCUCGUAUCUUUGCCUGAGAGACCCUUAAUUUCAAAAUUAUAAUGAUUUGGAAUGAAGGGGUUUAAAUUUCCCAUUCCUGCCUUCCUUAGCAGACACCUGUCUUUCAAACCAAGACAGCCAUUCUGCAGUUAAUGCGUAUAUUGACAAAAAUCCAAAAGUACUCUAUCUGUUGCAUUUAAUAAACGCAUUACCUUACUGGCUCUUUUGAAUGCAACUGGACCCAUAGUUAGUAUUCCUGCACUGAUGGUUGGGCAUGUUAUGUUUUUGCAACAAAACUAACACUGUCAAGUCCACCACUAAACCAUGAAUUUAAGUGCCACAUCUGGACAUCCUGAUGAGGAAGCUGACUGAAUUGAGCCUGCAGUGAACCCUGGCAGUAAGAAAACAGCAAACAGCACCCUGGGCUACCUCAAAAUGAUAGAUUCAGUAGAUCAAAGCAAUGAAUAUGGUUCUUCAAUUGGCACUUGGGUUAUACUAGCCUUGCAAUAUGAUGCAAUCAAGUGUAGGCUACCAAAACAGUGGGAUCUGGAACUUGUGUCCUGCGUGGAGAGGCUGUAGCAGAAGGGCUUGUUUAUCCCGGAGAAGUGUUGAUAACAGUGGCAUCUACUAGCAACUCUGUCCCUGACAGGAGAGGAUCAGGCAGGCACAAAUAGGUUUUUCACAGUGGUACAUGUGAGAGGGAAAGAGGCAACAGUCAGUAGCUGAAACAUGGGAGGUUCAGGCUGGAUAUAAUAAAAAAUUACUCACACUGCGGAAAAAUAUACAGCCUAGAUAGACUGAAAUAUAUGUCCCUGUUGGCUUUCAGACUGUAUAGAGCCCUGAGCCACUUGGCCUGAAUGCACUGUUGACUCUGAUUUGGGUGGGAGACUGGAUACAGACCCCUCAUGGUCUACUCCAGUUGCAUGACCAAGCGAUUCUAGGUGUUUCACAGGGCAUCAGUGAGCACAGUCUCAGGCUUUUGUUACAUUUUAGUAAACAAGAAACUCUGAGAGAGACAAAUGCAGCAUUUGAAAUUAGAUUUCAAAUUAGGUUUAAGAUGGGAGUGAUUAAAUUUCUGUCUUGGCAUGUAAUUUGUAUGAUUGAACUGUGAGCCUAGGUGUGUGAGUGUAGAUUAAGGACUGGUAAAUGAGAAGCUCUGGAAUGACAGUAAGUGUGCCAUUGGUCAUUAGGUUUCCCAAGGGAAAAAUUAAGACUGUCACCACUCUGAGUAUAUUGAUCUAAUCAAGCCUUUGCCUAGUGCUAGGUUUUAAGAGAUAGGUAUUCUUCAUGACAGUAUGAGCACAAUUAAAAUGCAUGCCACAAAAUAAAUUUAGAACAGGAAACACUCGGUUUCUCAGUGUAAAAAUUAGAAGAGAUAUUCCACAUAAUACUAAUGAACCUAAUUUAAUUUUGGGAUUAUGGCUGGGGGUUAGUAGACUCCCUAAAAUGUCUGUAAAAAUUACAGAUUAAACCAGAACCCAAAAGAAAGAAUAGCAAGAAAUCAGAUAGUAUUUUCAUAGUUGAAAUAUAAAAUGUUAUACCCUAUUAAUACUGAACAUUGUACAAAAUCAUGGUUCACCUAUACGGUAGUAGAAGAUGUAACUCACUAACACUGUCAACUCAGCUGGGUAAAAAAAGUAACUGUUUUCACCUGAGAUACAUGAUAUGCUGCUUCUUGGCCUCUGGCUGUCUCUCCAGAAAGGCAAAGAUUUUUUUCUCAAAUCUGGGUUGUAGUUUGUAUCUACCAGCCAACAGCAAAUGUGAUAAUAAGGUUAGAGCUGACUUUUUAUUUAGGGCUCAAUAAAACAGAUUAUGUAGAACAAAAUUUAGCCUCAUUACCAAAGUUAUUAAGAAUGUUAGCCAUUAAGGCUCUAAAGGAGACUAUGAGUGGUGCUCUGUAGGGCUUUACUGCAUGUUGACUAACUUAGAGCCAAGGUUUCAUAAAUUUGAAGAUAAUCUAUCCUAAGAUUUCCACUAAAAAUCAAAUCCCAAAGCAGGCUUUGAACAGCAGUUUCAUUUUCAUGUUUGGCUGUCUUAUGACCCAGUAUCCUUAAGGAUAGGGAUAGAGUUUGUUCUAGAGUUUAGAUAAAAGGAUCACACUAAUUUACAGUAAUUUUGGAGUUUUCUAACAGAGUAAAUUGUUAAAACAUGAUUGUUUAUUUCCCUGUGGAUUUUUGUGGUCAUGUUCUGGUAACAUUAUCUGUUAAGAGGUGUAAGACAGAUACAGGGCUGUACUAAAAGCUACAGACAUAGAAACUGAACAAAGAAAUCUCCUUUUGUUCUUCACUCUAGACUUGCCUGCAUUUCUGUCCUUUCUCUAUUCCUUUUCCUGCUGGCAAUUGAACCACAAGGCUAUAAGCAGAAAAGAAGGAGAAAGAGGUACUCUUCUUCCAUAAAGUUGGUGGUAAUGGACGGUCUGGGGGGAAAUCAGAUGCCUAAAUUUCAAUGAAAAAUAUGAAGAAUUUCCUAUAUUAGGUUUGAGCUGAGCUCUGGGGAUUGUGCUUGGUCCAACAGUUUUUGAUAAGUAGAUUCAUACAAGAUCUAACAAAGGCCACAGAGCUCAAUUAAGUAGAGCUGUCACUGUAAGAUUAGUACAGAAGCAAAGACAAAAAGAAGUAUAUUGGCUAUAGAUAGGAUUUUUUAACUUUGGUGAACUGAGUAGGGCUGAAAUACCAACGUAUCUAAUGCUAGCAUUAUUAGGAAGCUUAGAACUCAGGUUAGCAGGUACUAAGGGCUAGGAAUACUGCCUGUCAAGAGAACUGGAUUUUUUGCCUCAUCCAAAUUCUCUUACAGAGUUAGGCCUAGGACUAUAUUCAUGGUUGGUCCCCCAGAUGAACUCAGGGGCUGCUGAUUGUCAUUGAGUUUACAUUGGUGUCAGAACUGGCGUGAGUAAAAUUUAGUCUGCUGUACUUUAUUAGUAUGUCCGGCAGAUGAAGUGGGGAUUGUGCAAAGGUCAGGACUCAGGACUUGGGUGACAAUGAUAGGUUUACCGGUGUAUGUUCAAAUGUCAAUCAAACUAGAUGAGGUUCUAGAUUUGACAUACUCUGUGAUUAAGUUUUUUUCUGGCUCAUUACCUAUUACUGGACUAGACAGGGCUGAUGAGCUGUGUUUGGGAGAUGGCAGGUUCACUGUCAGACACAGGUUUUGUUGUGGUGCGACAUACCCAGGUUCAAAUUCUACGUUUAUGUACUAAGCUCAUGGGAGCAAGGGGGCAGAUGUUGCUGUCAAGUGCAAUGUGUGCUGCUGCCAUAGUGUUUUUUGAUGAAAAGGUGAAGUUUGGAUAAGAAGGAAAGAAAAUGCUUGUGUCUCUACUUCCCAUUCCAGGAACAAGUCAGCAGCCAAGGAAUUUGUCACUGAAUGCAAGACAGGAAGAUCUGUUUGUGUUUUCCUUGAUAGCUGCUUCUGCUGAUCACCUUCAGGGAGGCAAAUGCUGGAAAGAGUAAUUAUUUCUGUAAUCCUAAACAGAUUUCCUGAUCAUCCUUUUACUGCCAUAUUAAUAACAUUGUUCCAGUCUCUCUCAGUAGUAUUACUCACUUUUCUUAAUGAUGACACUCUCACCACUGGCAAAGUUUAGAGAACACUAAAAGCAUGUCCAUCAUGGAGCUAAUAAAAAGCACCCAGCUGCUCUGAUAGAAGGAACUGGAGUGCAGGAGAAGAAAGCAUGGUUAUCCAAAAUGCUCUUCAGGAACAAACUAAAGGCACAUCCAAUUAAAAUUACUUCUGUUAAACUCCUGACUACUCUUCAGUAAAAGAUCAUCAGGAUGAGGAGAAAUGCUUUUGAUAGAAACUGGGUAUUUGGCAGAAAUAGUUGGCAUACUGAGGGAGCGACCAGCAGAAGGAACAAACCAUCAUAUUCUAUGCAUAUUACGUAUCCUGUAAAAAAUGGUCUACUUAUAUACUCUUCCAUGUGCUCUCCUAUGCCAUACCCCUAGUACCACAUUGCUGUUCUCAGGUGUGAAGACCCACAGUGCCCUCCUGAAAUAUGGGGGAUGCUUGUCUGAGUAGCAAAGAUCUAUUAGGCAUACUGCAGUACUGUUAGAUUGGUUUUCAAUAAAACCUACUGUUUUAGGAAACAAAAAAUGCUCUGGUGUAAGAACUACUGAACAGAAGGACAUUUUCUUUUUAUAGAUGUCAAUUAAAAUUUGUCUGUCAAAUAAAGGAAUUUAUUCAGAAAGUUAUUAAGAAAGGAAUAAUUAUCUCUGUAAGAUUUAGUGGAAACUUUUAUAAGAAUAACUCCAAAAGGGUUAGUUAUAAUUAGGAUACUCUGUUUUAUAAAAUAAAAAAAUAUAGGAUAUCUUUCAGUAUUUUGAGGAGAUACUAAAUUCAGACCUGUUCAAUGUAACUAGAAGGUAACCCGACUUUGAGAGACUUAUUUCUCUAAAAAGUCUAGCUAUUUUUCAAAAGUAAAUCAAACUGCUGUCAUGAAAUCAGAAGGAGAUGCAGGAAACCAAAUUAGCCCAAUAUGAAUGCAAUGAGAAAAGACUAAUAUGAAUUGUAGGUGAAAGAGGUACUUAUUGGCUGUUUCUGGAUGUCUUCCUUGUAUUCAGUAAAGUCCAAAAGAUAGCAGACUGGUAGAUACAUAUAUUGUAUCUGGUAAAAACCUAGCCAAAUGACAUUUUCCUUAUGCAGAUAAUUAAAUUCCGUAGUUAUAGACCUCCAAUGUUCAUAAGGAAAACAAAAAGAGAAAGAAACUCUGGACGUCUGUUUCUGAUUAGCGAGAUCACAUGAUAAAAUAUGCAUACAUUUUUUAAACGUUGCUUAAGAGGAGGAGAUAAGCAGAGACAAUCUGGAACAUCUCAGUGAACAUGUGUCAUGGUUUUAAACCCAUGUGGAGAUGAAACACCACACAGGCACUUGUUUAACUCUGUCUCUUUUCCACCCUCACCCCACUGGAAUGGGGAGAAAAAUCGAAAUAAAACAUGUAUGUUGAGAUAAGAGAAGUUUAGUAAUUGAAAAUAAAGUAAAAUAAUGUAAUCAAUUAAAAUAAUGAUAAUAAAAAGGAAGAAAACCAAGUGAUCUACAGUACAUUUGCUCACCACUUACUGACUGCUGCCAGGCCUCCCUUCCUGGACCCAGAUCAGCCCCUUCCAGGUAACUUCACCAAGUUUAUAUACUCGGUGUGAUGUUCUCUGUUGUGGAAUAUCUUUUUCGUUGGUUCUCGUCACUUUUCUCAGAAGUGCUCCCUCCUGCUUUCUUUUGCUCACCUCUCUGGUGGAAGACGAGCCAAAGAAAAUAAGUCGUUGAUUUAGGAUAAACAGAAUUUAGCAAAAACCCCAAACAUUCACAUGUUACCAACACCAUUCUCAUUCUGUACCCCAAACACAGCAGUAGAAGAGAUUAACUCUGCCUGAGCUGAAACCAGCACAGCAUGAAAUCACAAAUUCUCAGUAGAAACAUUUGACUAACAGCAUGAAAAAACGCAAACUCCUUUACACUCUAGGACUUUACUUGGAUCUUUGGUACUAUAGCACAUUGAUAAUAGGUCAGACUGCUCAGGAAAUAAUAGAUCCACUGUAUGUUAGAAAAUAAUAGAUCCACUGUUUUUUUCUCUUAUACUUCAAGCAAGGGUUUACCAAUUUCACUAAUGCAGAAAAAAAAUAGGUGGUACUAAGAACAAUAUACUUUGUGUGAAGUACUAGCAGUUUGUACCGCUUUGUAGUGGUGGUAAAGCAGAAGUAUUCUGCAGAAGCUUAGAAUUAUAGCUUUUUCUUUUUAUU